rnacentral:rRNA from 1 species
GACGAACGCUGGCGGCGUGCUUAACACAUGCAAGUCGAACGGAAAGGCCCUGCUUUUGUGGGGUGCUCGAGUGGCGAACGGGUGAGUAACACGUGAGUAACCUGCCCUUGACUUUGGGAUAACUUCAGGAAACUGGGGCUAAUACCGGAUAGGAGCUCCUGCUGCAUGGUGGGGGUUGGAAAGUUUCGGCGGUUUGGGAUGGACUCGCGGCUUAUCAGCUUGUUGGUGGGGUAGUGGCUUACCAAGGCUUUGACGGGUAGCCGGCCUGAGAGGGUGACCGGCCACAUUGGGACUGAGAUACGGCCCAGAGUCCUAUGGGAGGCAGCAGUGGGGAAUAUUGCACAAUGGGGGGAAGCCGGAUGAAGCAACGCCGCGUGCGGGAUGACGGCCUUCGGGUUGUAAACAGCUUUAGCCUGUGACGAAGCGUGAGUGACGGUAAUGGGUAAAGAAGCACCGGCUAACUCCGUG